rnacentral:piRNA from 1 species
UUCUAAUUACUUUAGGAAAACUCCUCGG